AUUACUGAGUUUUUAACUCUCCAAACCAUGUGAA
rnacentral:rRNA from 1 species